rnacentral:rRNA from 1 species
GUGGGGAAUAUUGGACAAUGGGCGAAAGCCUGAUCCAGCCAUGCCGCGUGUGUGAAGAAGGUCUUCGGAUUGUAAAGCACUUUAAGUUGGGAGGAAGGGCAGUAAGUUAAUACCUUGCUGUUUUGACGUUACCGACAGAAUAAGCACCGGCUAACUUCGUGCCAGCAGCCGCGGUAAUACGAAGGGUGCAAGCGUUAAUCGGAAUUACUGGGCGUAAAGCGCGCGUAGGUGGUUUUGUAAGUUGGAGGUGAAAUCCCCGGGCUCAACCUGGGAACUGCCUCCAAAACUGCAUGACUAGAGUACGGUAGAGGGUAGUGGAAUUUCCUGUGUAGCGGUGAAAUGCGUAGAUAUAGGAAGGAACACCAGUGGCGAAGGCGACUACCUGGACUGAUACUGACACUGAGGCACGAAAGCGUGGGGAGCAAACAGGAUUAGAUACCCUAGUAGUCC